CUCUGGGUCAUAUUUCCAUCAAUUCUUGUCUCCAAUGGGAGCCUUUAGUUGUUUACUCUCUUUUUAACCAUUUUCCUCCUCAUUCGUUGCUCCAUCUAAACUGGAAUGUCCGUUAAACGCUCUGUGUUCAGAGAAACCUUGUUAAAUAGCAAACCAAGUCUAGCACCACAGAUUCCCAUCGGAUCUAAAAUGACUUUCCCAACAAAAAUGUGUUUUGCAAGCAGUUGACUGUAACUGUUUUGGUUCAGUGCUCAGUCUGGAGCUGGUGAGCAGACUCAGAGGGGACGCCUUCUCCUCCUCCUCUUCUUAUGGCUGUUAAACGACGACCACUUGAAAGGAGGAUGAAGACUGUCAGCGGGUGGGUGAGACUUUCCCCGGUUGUGUGGACGCAUCCGUCAUCAUCAUCAUCUCCCUACUACUCCACACUAUAAACACUAGCAACAUAUCAUCAUGACCAGCAAAACAAUCAUGAGAAGAAGGAAGAGAGCAAGAACAAAGAAUUACAACAAACCAGUAGACUGUG